rnacentral:rRNA from 1 species
AAAGCUCGUAGUUGGAUUCAGAGGUGGGGUURUGGGUCGGGUGUGGCCCGGCAGCUUGUCUCCGUGUGCCGCUCCCAAUCAACCCGCGUUUGCCCCAGCCUCCUAUCGCACGGAAACGGAGUCCUGCUGGGGUCUCCUUAACUGGGGGUUCCAGCGCUUCCGCGCACAACGUGCGCUUACGGACCGUCCGUGGACGUUACUGUGAACAAAACAGCGUGUUCAAAGCAAGUGGCUUGCCUGCCCUGCAUGUUAAAGCAUGRAAUAAYAAGGCAUCGACCACUCGGCGGUGCUUUUGUUGGUCUUUCCCUCCCGGUGGRAAUGCGCAGGCGUGCACACUGCCGGCCUUCUGGCCGGUCUGGGUGCCGUCUCUUCGAGAUCAAUAGGGGCAAACGGGGAGAUACCUAUUGUGGGGAGAGCGGUGAAAUGCGAUGACCCCCAUAAGAGGAACUUCAGCGAAAGCAGUUCUCAAGACUGCCUUCGUUAAUCAAGAACGAGACUGUGGGGAUCAAAGAUGAUCAGAUACCGUCGUAGUCCACUAGCGUAAACGAUGCCGACUCAUCRUUGGGGGGCAUCUCUAACAAGG